GCAUUUUGCGUGGUGCACCAUUAUCAUGGGUACCAUGUGUGUUUGGAUAUCUUUCCUGACCAAGUUCCUUUUUUAGUACAAUCUUUCCUGACCAAGUUUAUUUCACGCGGCCCGUAUUUUAACCUGCCGCAUCGAGAGGACACCAAGGAUGGCUUAGCCGGGACGUAAUUCGCGGUGACCGAAAGAAAUAAAGCAACCCAUAACUCCAUAAUACUGUACUAACUGACGUCAUGAUCCAACACAGCAGCAGACGGAAGGUGCACACUUCCUUCACCUGCCCCUGCAGUCCUGCACGAAUAUUGUACGUGAAGCAGCCGGCAGUCGGUUAGCGAUCGAUUUUGCAUCACUAUAGUCUAUAGCAAUGCUCAGUUAUCACGCGUGCCGCCUGGCCCCAACUUGAAAGUUGAAACUGCAUAAUAUAUCAACUUUUACGAGGGAAAUUAUAUCUUGUAAUAGUGGUACCAUCAUGGGAGACGACUCGAUGGAAGAAGGUUCAGAUAAGUGGUGACGUUUCAACCGACGGAAGGAGAAGUGUAUCAGCGUCUUCUCUUGAUUUUCUUUCAAUUUCCUCUCAUCGCGACGGCCGACGAGCGAGAGUCCUCGGUCUCUCCAGUGUCCUGCGGGCGGCAAAUGAUGUGGUGUGGUGGGUGGAAUCUAACGAGUCGAGAUUUGGCAUCCCCACCGAUUGGAUUUGGCGCGGGAAGGUGGUAGCCGACUGACC
rnacentral:lncRNA from 1 species